rnacentral:rRNA from 1 species
CCGUCCCUGGAUCGCUAGCCAUGCGAGUCGAGAGGGUUCGGCCCUCGGCUGACGGCUCAGUAACACGUGGAUAAUCUACCCUAAGGUGGAGGAUAACCUCGGGAAACUGAGAAUAAUACUCCAUAGGUCUAGGAUACUGGAAUGUACUUAGGCUGAAAACUUCGGUGCCCUAGGAUGAGUCUGCGGACUAUCAGGUUGUAGUCAGGGUAAAGACCUGACUAGCCUACAACGGAUACGGGUUGUGAGAGCAAUAACCCGGAGAUGAUAUCUGAGACACGAUAUCAGGCCCUACGGGGCGCAGCAGGCGCGAAAACUUCACACUGCGCGAAAGCGCGAUGAGGGAAUCCCAAGUGCUUGCACGUAAGUGUAAGCUGUUUCUAUGUCUAAAACGCAUAGAGAGUAAGAGCUGGGUAAGACGGGUGCCAGCCGCCGCGGUAAUACCUGCAGCUCAAGUGGUGGCCGUUAUUAUUGGGCCUAAAACGUCCGUAGCCGGUUUAUUAAAUGCCUGGGUAAAUCGGGCCGCUUAACGGUUCGAAUUCCGGGUAGACUGAUAGACUUGGGACCGGGAGAGGCUAGAGGUACUCCUGGGGUAGAGGUGAAAUUCUGUAAUCCUAGGGGGACCACCAGUGGCGAAGGCGUCUAGCUAGAACGGGUCUGACGGUGAGGGACGAAGCCCUGGGGCGCAAACCGGAUUAGAUACCCGGGUAGUCCAGGGUGUAAACGCUGCUUGCUUGAUGUUAGUCGGGCUCCGAGCCCGAUUAGUGUCGGAGAGAAGUUGUUAAGCAAGCUGCCUGGGAAGUACGGCCGCAAGACUGAAACUUAAAGGAAUUGGCGGGGGAGCACAGCAACGGGUGGAGCGUGCGGUUUAAUUGGAUUCAACGCCGGG